GAUGAACGCUGGCGGCGUGCCUAAUACAUGCAAGUCGAGCGAAGCGGGGACGGGUGAGUAACACGUGGGUAACCUCCUAUAAGGCUGGGAUAACUUCGGGAAACCGGGGCUAAACCGGAUAAUUAUCGAUGGAUCUGCGCUGCAUUAGCUAGUUGGUAAGGUAACGGCUUACCAAGGCAACGAUGCAUAGCCGACCUGAGAGGGUGAUCGGCCACACUGGAACUGAGACACGGUCCAGACUCCUACGGGAGGCAGCAGUAGGGAAUCUUGCGCAAUGGGCGAAAGCCUGAUGGAGCAACGCCGCGUGAGUGAAGAAGGUCUUCGGAUCGUAAAGCUCUGUCAUUAGGGAAGCGGUACCUACACAGAAAGCCACGGCUAACUCCGUGCCAGCAGCCGCGGUAAUAC
rnacentral:rRNA from 1 species